rnacentral:rRNA from 1 species
ACGGGGUGCAGCAGGCGCGAAAACUUGGCAAUGCGAGAAAUCGUGACCAGGGAACUCCAAGUGGCUGGGGUAAGACCCAGUCUUUUCUUGACUCUUCAACGGUCUUGGAAUAAGGGGUGGGUAAGGACGGUGCCAGCCGCCGCGGUAAUACCGGCGCCUCAAGUGGUAGUCGAUUUUAUUGGGCCUAAAACGUCCGUAGCCUGUUUGGUACAUUCGUGGGUAAAUCAACCAGCUCAACUGAUUGAAUUCUGCGAGCACGGCCAGACUUGGGACCGGGAGAGGUGUGGGGUACGCUCAGGGUAGGGGUAAAAUCCUGUCAUCCUGAGCGGACCACCUGUUGCGAAGGCGCCACACUAGAACGGAUCCGACGGUCAGGGACGAAGCCUAGGGGCACGAACCGGAUUAGAUACCCGGGUAGUCCUAGGUGUAAACGCUGUGGACUUGGUGUUGGGGACUCUCCGAGAUUCCUCAGUGCCGAAGCGAAGGUGAUAAGUCCACUGCCUGGGGAGUACGGUCGCAAGGCUGAAACUUAA